rnacentral:rRNA from 1 species
GACGAACGCUGGCGGCGUGCUUAACACAUGCAAGUCGAACGGUAAGGCCCUUCGGGGUACACGAGUGGCGAACGGGUGAGUAACACGUGGGUGAUCUGCCCUGCACUUCGGGAUAAGCCUGGGAAACUGGGUCUAAUACCGGAUAGGACUCCUGGCUUCAUGGUUGGGGGUGGAAAGCUUUUGCGGUGUGGGAUGGGCCCGCGGCCUAUCAGCUUGUUGGUGGGGUAAUGGCCUACCAAGGCGACGACGGGUAGCCGGCCUGAGCGGGUGACCGGUCACACUGGGACUGGGAUACGGCCCAGACUCCUACGGGGGGCAGCAGUGGGGAAUAUUGCACAAUGGGCGCAAGCCUGAUGCAGCGACGCCGCGUGAGGGAUGACGGCCUUCGGGUUGUAAACCUCUUUCGGCUAUGACGAAGCGCAAGUGACGGUAGUAGCAGAAGAAGGACCGGCCAACUACGUGCCAGCCGCCGCCGUAACAC